rnacentral:rRNA from 1 species
UCAGUCGACUCCUACGGGAGGCAGCAGUGGGGAAUAUUGCACAAUGGGCGCAAGCCUGAUGCAGCCAUGCCGCGUGUAUGAAGAAGGCCUUCGGGUUGUAAAGUACUUUCAGCAGUGAGGAAGGUGGAUAUGUUAAUAGCAUAUUCAUUUGACGUUAGCUGCAGAAGAAGCACCGGCUAACUCCGUGCCAGCAGCCGCGGUAAUACGGAGGGUGCGAGCGUUAAUCGGAAUUACUGGGCGUAAAGCGCAUGCAGGCGGCCUGUUAAGUCAGAUGUGAAAGCCCCGGGGCUUAACCUCGGAAUUGCAUUUGAAACUGGCAGGCUAGAGUCUUGUAGAGGGGGUAGAAUUUCAGGUGUAGCGGUGAAAUGCGUAGAGAUCUGAAGGAAUACCAGUGGCGAAGGCGGCCCCCUGGACAAAGACUGACGCUCAGAUGCGAAAGCGUGGGGAGCAAACAGGAUUAGAUACCCUGGAG